GUAGAUAUAGUUUAACAAAAACCUUAGAUUGUGAUUCUAAAAAUAGGGGUUAAAACCCCCUUAUCCACC
rnacentral:tRNA from 2 species